rnacentral:tRNA from 1 species
GCCUCGGUAGCUCAAUUGGUAGAGCAGUUGACUCUUAAUCAAUUGGUUCUAGGUUCAAGUCCUAGCCGGGGCACCA